AGAGUUUGAUCCUGGCUCAGAAUCAACGCUGGCGGCGUGCCUAACACAUGCAAGUCGAACGCGAAAGGGGCUUCGGUCCUGAGUAGAGUGGCGAACGGGUGAGUAACACGUGGGUGAUCUACCUUCGAGUGGGGGAUAACGUCCCGAAAGGGACGCUAAUACCGCAUGACGUUCUGGGUUUAAAGACCUGGAAACCAAAGCCGGGGACCGCAAGGCCUGGCGCUUGGAGAGGAGCCCGCGUCCGAUUAGCUAGUUGGCGGGGUAACGGCCCACCAAGGCGACGAUCGGUAGCCGGCCUGAGAGGGCGGACGGCCACACUGGAACUGAGACACGGUCCAGACUCCUACGGGAGGCAGCAGUGGGGAAUUGUUCACAAUGGGCGCAAGCCUGAUGACGCAACGCCGCGUGGGGGAUGAAGGUCUUCGGAUCGUAAACCCCU
rnacentral:rRNA from 1 species